rnacentral:rRNA from 1 species
GACGAACGCUGGCGGCGUGCUUAACACAUGCAAGUCGAACGGAAAGGCCCUGCUUUUGUGGGGUGCUCGAGUGGCGAACGGGUGAGUAACACGUGAGUAACCUGCCCUUGACUUUGGGAUAACUUCAGGAAACUGGGGCUAAUACCGGAUAGGAGCUCCUGCUGCAUGGUGGGGGUUGGAAAGUUUCGGCGGUUGGGGAUGGACUCGCGGCUUAUCCGCUUGUUGGUGGGGUAGUUGCUUACCAAGGCUUUGGCGGGUAGCCGGCCUGAGAGGGUGACCGGCCACAUUGGGACUGAGAUACGGCCCAGACUCCUACGGGAGGCAGCAGUGGGGAAUAGUGCACAAUGGGCGGAAGCCUGAUGCAGCAACGCCGCGUGCGGGAUGACGGCCUGCGGGUUGUAAACCGCUUUCGCCUGUGACGAAGCGUGAGUGACGGUAAUGGGUAAAGAAGCACCGGCUAACUACGUG